AGUGAACGUUGGCGGCGUGCCUAACACAUGCAAGUCGAGCGCGUUUCGGGGGCAACCCCGGGAUGAGCGGCGAACGGGUGAGUAACACGUGGGUAAUCUCCCCCCGAGUGAGGAAUAAGCCCCCGAAAGGGGGUCUAAUACCGCAUGACACCCAGGGGCAUAAGCAACCUGGGUCAAAGCCGUAAGGCGCUUGGGGAUGAGCCUGCGACCUAUUAGCUAGUUGGUAGGGUAACGGCCUACCAAGGUUAUGAUGGGUAGCCGGCCUGAGAGGGUGAUCGGCCACACUGGGACUGAGACACGGCCCAGACUCCUACGGGUGGCAG
rnacentral:rRNA from 1 species